rnacentral:rRNA from 1 species
UACGUAGGGUGCAAGCGUUUGUCCGGAUUUAUUGGGCGUAAAGAGCUCGUAGGCGGUUUAGAAAGUCGGGUGUGAAACCUCCAGGCUCAACCUGGGAGACGCCACUCGAUACUUCUAUGACUUGAGUUCGGUAGGGGUAAGCGGAAUUCCUGGUGUAGCGGUGAAAUGCGUAGAUAUCAAGAGGAACACCUGAGGUGAAGACGGGUUGCUGGGCUGACACUGACGCUGAGGCGCGAAAGCCAGGGGAGCAAACGGG